rnacentral:tRNA from 2 species
UAUUCAAAUAGUUUAAGAAAAAUACCGGUCUGUGGAACCGGAGAUAUAGGUUUCUAUUUUGGGUAG